rnacentral:rRNA from 1 species
UGGCGAACGGGUGAGUAACACGUGAGUAACCUGCCCCCGACUCUGGGAUAAGCCCGGGAAACUGGGUCUAAUACCGGAUAUGACCUCGCACCGCAUGGUGCGGGGUGGAAAGAUUUAUCGGUGGGGGAUGGACUCGCGGCCUAUCAGCUUGUUGGUGAGGUAAUGGCUCACCAAGGCGACGACGGGUAGCCGGCCUGAGAGGGUGACCGGCCACACUGGGACUGAGACACGGCCCAGACUCCUACGGGAGGCAGCAGUGGGGAAUAUUGCACAAUGGGCGAAAGCCUGAUGCAGCGACGCCGCGUGAGGGAUGACGGCCUUCGGGUUGUAAACCUCUUUCAGUAGGGAAGAAGCGAAAGUGACGGUACCUGCAGAAGAAGCGCCGGCUAACUACGUGCCAGCAGCCGCGGUAAUACGUAGGGCGCAAGCGUUAUCCGGAUUUAUUGGGCGUAAAGAGCUCGUAGGCGGUUUGUCGCGUCUGCCGUGAAAGUCCGAGGCUCAACCUCGGAUCUGCGGUGGGUACGGGCAGACUAGAGUGAUGUAGGGGAGACUGGAAUUCCUGGUGUAGCGGUGAAAUGCGCAGAUAUCAGGAGGAACACCGAUGGCGAAGGCAGGUCUCUGGGCAUUUACUGACGCUGAGGAGCGAAAGCAUGGGGAGCGAACAGGAUUAGAUACCCUGGUAGUCCAUGCCGUAAACGUUGGGCACUAGGUGUGGGGGACAUUCCACGUUUUCCGCGCCGUAGCUAACGCAUUAAGU